UAACGAAUCUUCCGCAAUGCACGAAAGUGUGACGGAGCGACGCCGCGUGGAGGACGAAGUUCUUCGGAAUGUAAACUCCUGUCAGGGGAAAGAAAGUUCUGAUCUACCCCAGAGGAAGAGGCGGCUAACUCAGUGCCAGCAGCCGCGGUAAUACAGAGGCCUCGAGCGUUAGACGGAAUCACUGGGCUUAAAGCGUGUGUAGGCGGAAGGGUGAGUACCUUGUGAAAUCCCACGGCUUAACCGUGGAACGGCUUGGUAUACUGCUUUUCUUGAGCAAUCUAGGGGCGAGUGGAACAGAUGGUGGAGCGGUGAAAUGCGUAGAUAUCAUCUGGAACGCCAAUGGUGAAGACAACUCGCUGGGGAUUUGCUGACGCUGAGACACGAAAGCCAGGGGAGCGAACGGGAUUAGAUACCCAUGUAGUCCCUGAGCGGGCUGGCAAGGCGCAU
rnacentral:rRNA from 1 species